CGCAGCCGCGGGAAUACAGAGGGUGCGAGCGUUAAUCGGAUUUACUGGGCGUAAAGCGUGCGUAGGCGGCUUCUUAAGUCGGAUGUGAAAUCCCUGAGCUUAACUUAGGAAUUGCAUUCGAUACUGGGAAGCUAGAGUAUGGGAGAGGAUGGUAGAAUUCCAGGUGUAGCGGUGAAAUGCGUAGAGAUCUGGAGGAAUACCGAUGGCGAAGGCAGCCAUCUGGCCUAAUACUGACGCUGAGGUACGAAAGCAUGGGGAGCAAACAGGAUUAGAUACCCCGGUAGUCCCUGUCUCUUAUACA
rnacentral:rRNA from 1 species